rnacentral:tRNA from 1 species
AAGAUACUAGUAAAAAAGAAUAUUACAUUGCCUUGUCAAGGCAAAAUUGUAGGUUAAAAUCCUGCGUAUCUUA